rnacentral:rRNA from 1 species
UACAGGGGGGGCAAGCGUUGUUCGGAAUUACUGGGCGUAAAGGGCUCGUAGGUGGCCAACUAAGUCAGACGUGAAAUCCCUCAGCUUAACUGGGGAACUGCGUCUGAUACUGGAUGGCUUGAGUUUGGGAGAGGGAUGCGGAAUUCCAGGUGUAGCGGUGAAAUGCAUAGAUAUCUGGAGGAACACCGGUGGCGAAGGCGGCAUCCUGGACCAACACUGACACUGAGGAGCGAAAGCCAGGGGAGCAAACGGG